rnacentral:tRNA from 1 species
GCGCCUGUAGCUCAGUGGAUAGAGCAUCGGCCUCCGGAGCCGAGGGUC